GACGAACGCUGGCGGCGUGCCUAAUACAUGCAAGUAGAACGCUGAAGAGAGGAGCUUGCUCUUCUUGGAUGAGUUGCGAACGAGUGAGUAACGCGUAGGUAACCUGCCUUGUAGCGGGGGAUAACUAUUGGAAACGAUAGCUAAUACCGCAUAACAAUGGAUGACACAUGUCAUUUAUUUGAAAGGGGCAAUUGCUCCACUACAAGAUGGACCUGCGUUGUAUUAGCUAGUAGGUGAGGUAAUGGCUCACCUAGGCGACGAUACAUAGCCGACCUGAGAGGGUGAUCGGCCACACUGGGACUGAGACACGGCCCAGACUCCUACGGGAGGCAGCAGUAGGGAAUCUUCGGCAAUGGGGGCAACCCUGACCGAGCAACGCCGCGUGAGUGAAGAAGGUUUUCGGAUCGUAAAGCUCUGUUGUAAGUCAAGAACGGGUGUGAGAGUGGAAAGUUCACACUGUGACGGUAGCUUACCAGAAAGGGACGGCUAACUACGUG
rnacentral:rRNA from 1 species